CUCAUGAAAAGGGUGCUUACUUCUGCAUCCGACACUUAGCGCUUUGAUCAUCACAAAUGAAAAGGCACGGUUGGCCAUGGGGUUUUAUGGCGUGAACUGGGCUGCAAAACAAAGGCGGUGCGAUCUUGGGGCGGAGCGGGUUUUAUGGGAGCAGCGGCACAAGUCUGAACGCGGAGGCUUCCCGAGGAGAGAGCAGCCGCCUAGGCGGAGCGCGGGCUGCAGGCCUAGGACCCGGACACCUGCCGCUCUGUCUGUUCUCCGGUCUCUUGCCUUCUUCUUUGAUCUACGAAAUGGGGAAAAUAAGGGCCACUUUGAUAUACUUUUAAGGGCGCGGGGAUUUGCUGUGCUCUCCCCCAAGCAAAGGGCUUGUAGAGUGCUUUCAGAACAAGAAGGAACAUGCUGUCACAUGUAAUCUAAUGAGCUCAGCCUCCUCUUCCAGUGCCUAUUAAUCAAUCAACCAACACUUGUAAAGCAUAUAUAUGAAUUCCGUGUGCAGCAGGGAAGGGGAGGCAUGGUCUUUGCACCUAAGGUAUUUAUGGUCUGACUGGGCAGAUGAUGGAAUGAAUAUGUGAGUGUGAACCAUGAUAAUAGCUAACAUUUACCGAGUGCUUCCUGUGUGCCAGGUUCCCGAAUAGGCACUGAAUUAUCAUCUCCAUUUUACAGACAUUUUAGAGAUCACUUGACCAGGUCACACAGUGUACAGCAGUUAGAUGUGGCUGCAGGUUCCAGGGAAGCUGACAUCCAGUCAAGACGGGCAGCCUCUUGCCUUGGGCCUGGUCCUCUUCAUUCUCUUUCUUCUGUUCUUGCUUUCUCUGCCUAGCAGGGGCAUUACCUGGGGUCAUACUUGAGAACUUUCUUUAACCAUCACUGUCCUCUGGGACCCUAAUAAGGUCUAUUUCUUUCCCUUCCUCUGUCUUUCUGUACUCAACAAUCACAUCCCAGUUAAUUCUCUGUAUGCAACCUUAAUCUUGUGGGUACACUUUGUCCUGUCCUCUGUGGUUUUAUUUUGGAAGGAGAGAGAAGAGACUUCACUCAAAAACAGUUAAGUAUGCAAAACAGUACUUUGCUGCCAUGAUCUCUUAAUCCUCUUCCUUCCUCUAAUGUUCAAAUGGUACCUUCUCUCUUUGCCCUACCUAGGGCAGCUGCUUUCCUGAAAUGCAGAUAUGUAGCAUCAGGGUGUCACCGGUGCCCACAGGCAGGUCUGCAGUACCGCAUCUUCAGCCCAGCUUGCCAUAUGUGGUCACUGAACUCCCUCAUGAUAACUAAAGAGCCCAACAGAAUGUAGUUUUCCCAGGAAAAGGCCAAGGUAGCCUUAAUCAGCAUCACUGGGGACCAGUCCAAAGAGAACAGGUCAGAGGAAUACCAGAGUCUACUAUCAACAUGAGGAUUGUAAAUACUUAUAUCCACAAAAAAAAGAAUCAAGUGCUCUUCACUCUCUGAUUUAUAUCACUUCAGGAAGAAAGAAGCCUUUUUGUCUCUUUAUCAAGCCUACAGUCAUGGAAUGUGUAUAUGCUUUUUUUUUUUUUUUGAGUACUGGGGAUUGAACUCAGGACCUUGCACCUCAGAACCACUGAGCUAAAUCCCCGGCCCAGUGUACAUGGUUUCUUCAGUUUCAGCCCUUGUGAUUGCCAUUCAACAGAAGUUGCUUAUACCAUGGUCAUCUUUCUUUGUAACCAAACCUUUUGCUUGUGAUUUUGCUCUCCUAAGUGUUAAUCAUUUGUGGCACCAACAACAGCACUAGUAGUUUCUUGCUUAUCCUGACACGUCACUGACUUCUUUCUUUUUUCUAGCUUUCAGUAUUUCUGGCAAUUCUUUCCUUUGCUACCCUUGGAAAUAAAACAUCUGACAUAGUCACAAGUCAUCAGCCAUGUCUAGAUGACCAUGAAUUCCAUGUACAUAACUGCUAGUAUAACAGAAAUAUGUCCAAUUAACACUGCUAGCAGAAGACUCUCCACUUGAAUGUCUCAAAACCUUAAUAUAAUAAGUAAGAAAUGGUCAAGUAGUACUUUUAAAUGACUUGACCUAAUAGUUACAUUCCCAAACUGGAGUUAAUUGCUUGCUUCAAAACUUCAUUUUCUCCAACUAGCUUACGAAUUACUGAUAGCUCUGGACCUUGAGUUUCUUGGUUUGUUGCAUUGAAAUCAUCUGUAGUGUUCCUUCCUUCUUCCAUCUUUCCAUUUCUCCAGGGAGUGAAAAAGCUUUUAGCUGAUCUUUGAUUUCUUCUUCUAUCUAACCAUGUUAUUCUUGGGGUGUAAUAAUGAAGUUUGCAUGCCCCCUUUUAUAAUCUGAUGUAGGCCCACAAGCAUUGAUGCUUUGCUAAUAUUGGUUUAUUUAUUAUGCCUUCUUUGGAAAAUCCUUUGUGAUUACUUGUUUGAAGUUAAAAAUACUGAUUGGAUACAAGAUUCUUUUUUUUUUUUUUCAGUUUUCAGCAUAUAUCUCCAACCUGCCCUCAGUCUAUAUUUGAGUUUAAUAAAUCACAGUUUAAUUUUACUAAGCUUAAUUUUCUGCUCUGUAAAUUGAGACUAAUAAUAUUAACAAUCUCAUAAGGUUGUGGUUAGGAUUAAUUUAAUACAUGCAAUCCUUAGAAUGAUGCCAGAGUUAUAUCAAACCCUUAUUCAGUGUUAAUUAUGUGGAAAAAAAUUCAUUAUCAUCUCAUGCUGAAGACAAAUUUUUUUUGUAGUUUUCUACUAUUUUUGCAAAAAACCCCCCCCACAAACAACACCCCCAAAUCAACAGCUUUUGAAGGGUUCAUGUUUAAUUCUGGGUCUGUAAAAAACUCUUGGUUGAUUUUUAGUUGUCUUGAUCCAAUUUUAUCCUCUGUAAUGAUAGUACUCUUUAAUGAUGAUUUUUUUAAAAAAACCCUAAAAACAUACAUAUUCUCUAGAAGGUAUUUAGUAUCAAGUAUCCUAAUAAAGAGUUGCUAUGAAGCAAAUCUUUUGCUAAAGGUGAUUCUCAAACUUGAGUUUACUAAAAUGGUCCAAGAAAUAUAGUAAGGGAUUUGCACUGCAGUAAUGUCUUUGAAGUCGUCGCCUGCCUUUAAUUUUUCAGUAAGCGCCUAAUCUCAUUAGAUUUCAUACACCCAGUGUUUGCACUUGCACAAAAGCUGUCCAAACAAAGCCAAAAUGUUGACACCACCGUCCUCUGAUGGCAUUUAGAAUGAAUAUAUUAAACACACUUGCACUAGCAUUGCAUUAAGCUAAGAAAUAAAUUUUGAACUUUGAACUCAGCAGGAUAAAAAGUUUUACUUGAUAGCUGAGCAAUUGUGUUGUGGUAUCAUGGGGGGAAGUCAUUGUGUUGUUCAGAGAAUCCAAAUAUGCAAACAUGCUCUGCAUACAGUAGGCACUGCACAAGUAAAGAAUUAAAGUAAGGAACAGUCCUCAAAUCCUGUUGUUAGGGACAUAAAUGGAAGGUAAAGUGGACUGGUGGAUUUGCUUUGAAAUGCACUGAAUAAACUUUGAUUAAACUCGCUUCAGAGAAAGGCUCUGAAAGAAUACCUUCUAGUAAGUGUGUGAACUAGAGUAUGCUUUACUUCAAUCCACUCUGGUAAUUCACAAAUUUAGGCAUUUUUCUUUAGAAUCUGGAAAUUAUAUUUUUAUUAAAGGUUUGGAAACUGAUGAUUAUAGAGAACAUAAAAGAUAAGACUUCUCUGACUUUUGUCAUAAAAUAAAGAUAGCAACAAGGCUAGAAUUUGGAACCAACUAAAUCUAAUGGCUAGAGCUAUUUAGUGGUUUCUAAGUAGACAGAAGUGAAAGUAAAAGAGUUUCCCCAUAUAUUGUGUAUAAAUGUUUAUAAACCUAUAUAUCUGUAAUAUGAUCAUUAAUUAAGAAAUAUAUACCAAUGAGGAAAAUACCACCCACCAAAAUCCAUUCAUUAAAGUUUGUGCACAUUACUUAUUGAAAAUUUCAUAAUUCCUCAGCCUGAUUUCUUUUACUUUAGACAUUAUUUGCUUGAGUUUUGCUUUUUGGCUUGUGUGAAAGGAUUUCACAAGAAACAUUUUUUGAAAUUUGUUGAUACCAGCUAUUAUCAGAAUAAUGUUGAAGAUAUCUAUGUUAACUUAUUGGUUUUUUGUGGAUAUCAUGAAAAAAGUUCUCUCAGGUCUUCAUAUCAAGAGCAGUAGUAAUUUCUAUGAAUAGCUGGC
rnacentral:lncRNA from 1 species